rnacentral:rRNA from 1 species
GAUUGAACGCUGGCGGCAGGCCUAACACAUGCAAGUCGAACGGUAACAGGAAGAAGCUUGCUUCUUUGCUGACGAGUGGCGGACGGGUGAGUAAUGUCUGGGAAACUGCCUGAUGGAGGGGGAUAACUACUGGAAACGGUAGCUAAUACCGCAUAAUGUCGCAAGACCAAAGAGGGGGACCUUCGGGCCUCUUGCCAUCGGAUGUGCCCAGAUGGGAUUAGCUUGUUGGUGGGGUAACGGCUCACCAAGGCGACGAUCCCUAGCUGGUCUGAGAGGAUGACCAGCCACACUGGAACUGAGACACGGUCCAGACUCCUACGGGAGGCAGCAGUGGGGAAUAUUGCACAAUGGGCGCAAGCCUGAUGCAGCCAUGCCGCGUGUAUGAAGAAGGCCUUCGGGUUGUAAAGUACUUUCAGCGGGGAGGAAGGGAGUAAAGUUAAUACCUUUGCUCAUUGACGUUACCCGCAGAAGAAGCACCGGCUA